CCUGGCGGGAGGGGGUCCCUGAGGGUGGGGGCACCCUCAGGGCACUAUAGUGCCAGGAAAACGAGUAUGUUUUCCUGGCACUAUAGUGGUCCUUUAAAUUAUAAAGAUUGGUACACCUGUUACCGGGAAACUGACGGAGGCCAAGCACAGAGAGAUGGACACAGGUUUCUUCAGGAAGGAAGAGAUCUUUAUUUGAUUCACUCAGAGGGACUUAUGUCACCAAAAACAGCAAAGAUCUGAGUACUGAAUACAUAGAGUACAUUUCUUAUAUAGCACUGUAUCUUCUCCCAUAAUUAGCUACGCCCACACAUACCCUUAACCUAAUCAAUGAAUAGAGUCUAAACUCAUCCAUCCGGUCUAACCACGUGGCUCAUCUGAAACAAAGGAGAGGAACGCGUAAUUCCAGUUCCUGCAUUCCUGCACAUGCUCAGUACAGUGAUGACAGUAUCUUAGCUACGUGUAACUAACUGAUACUACAAACACAUGUACCUACAUAUGCCUUGUGGCAAUCUUGUCCUGCUAAACUUGUAUUUUACUGGAAUUCCAUCACAUUCCCCCCUUUGAUGCUUCUGAUUUAAAAUAAUUCCAGAUGCAUCACCAAUCAUAGUUUGCUUACACCUCAAGUUGCCAUAAACUAGACUAGACUUUGCGAUCCUCUAAAGAUACGAACCCCUCAACAUUCCUCUUCCUGCAUGUAUUCUCCUUGAUCUAGAGCUUCAUACCUGCAAACAGCCAUUACCUGUGCUGCGGCCUUUCUUUCUGCUAUACUUUCUAUAAUGCUCUGCAUAGACCUAAUUACCAAAGGAAUCAGACAUGGCAGAAGGAGACACAACAUCAAAAUCAGUAUGACUCCACCUACCAAUGCCUUGAUUCCCCCAAACUGCUCAUACCAACUACCAAACCAACUACUCGGAUUAUACCCUUUCCAUACCUGAGUAGGUACAUGUGCUAGCUUAACCAUAUGGCUAGUAAGCUCAGAUAUUGCUUGCCCUUCAUCAUCUAUUUGAAGACAACAAUUGCUUAGAUUAAACUUCCCACAUACACCUCCCUCUACUGCCAAUAGGUAAUCCAAAGGUAAUCUAUUCUGGUAGAUGGCUGUCCUCAUCCUAGUGUUAUGCUUCGCUAGGAGAUUGAGCGCUUGUGAUGUUUCAUUGGUAACUAUCUCAACUACUGCUUGCAAUCUUAUAAUACGAUUAAGCAUAUAUAUUGGGGUUCUGUAUCCAUAAGUACCAUCCUCUGCCCACGUAGCUGGCCCAUAAUAAUCUAUAAUACGCUGGGGAGGCCACUCAUCAUCUUCCCAGGUACCUAUCUCUAGGGGUGCCCUUUUCUUCCUAUGAUUUACAUCAUAUACUUUAACUCCCAAAGUCUCUCCUGUUUCAAUUGGCAACAAGAAGAAGGAUGGUUUGAGCAUACCCAAUACACAUGCCCCUUCCCAGUCCUGUGGUAACUCCGAAUAUGCUUUCUUACCACAAAUCCAGUACAAAUUUGCUGGGGCUUUCCAACUAGAUGUAGCAGAUAGGUCAAACCAUACAUCCUUUAAAUUGGUAUAAUUUGCAAACGGAUUAGACGGUUCUAAGACAUUUGAAGCUGACCACCAAAUAGUAUCCUUUGUAUCGUCAUUAUAGGCUUUCUGCCCUAAACAAGUCAAUUCUCCUACAGAUGUAUUAAACAUUAUUCCUUUCCUUGCUAUACAAACAUAACCUAUAAUGGAGGUCUUUAAUCGCCACUCAAAUUUACCUCUAACACUCACUUGAUAAUCAGAUUGAGAAGAUAUUAGUUGUUCAACUGUCUCAGAACCAGAAUACAUGACCUCCUUUGCUUCCCAAGGCCAUUGGUCUCCCAUAUUAGUACCUCCACACACAUAGCAGUUGGUUACAUUAAGACUACCAGCAAUGCUCUCAGCUAGGCCUAUGAAUAAGUUUUUGGCAUUAUGGGGAACCUUAUCUUCCACACUCAUCUCCUCAUAAAAAGAAUGGAAAACCUGAUGAGUCUGGGGAGCCACUGUAUCUGUCUCUAUUCCUAUGUAUAAUAUCGUCCCAGGAUCCAAACCUGUUCCAUAUAUUUGGAACCCAAAUAGAUUCCCAAACUUAUCUAUAAAUAGCUCUGGGUCCUUGAUAAGUAUAUGGACUGGGUUACACUCCAUAGACUUACAAUAUGGCUUGAUAGGCAAUCUAGUGAUAAUCAUAUCCUUAUCUACUGUCUGUCCCCAGGUUGCCCAUCCCACACAGGACCAAUACGGACAAUAAUUGUAGUCUUUAUUUAUACAGUUUGGAUCUAUAUACGUAUGCUUAUUACUAGGACAAAUAUACUUAUCAUUAGACCCAUACGUUCUUUCCCAUUUAAAACCACCAAAUACAUUCCAUGGCUUCCUACUACCUGAUAUCGCCUUACAUGCAUCAAAUAGCAAAACACCUGGAGAAUGUACGCUUUCUAGUACAGUCUUAUUUAUCAGGUUCCCCUGUGCGUUCUCAUUCCAAAUAGUCAACCAAAUUGUACGGGGCUGAUACUCAGGAUUAAAACACCUAGGUUCUCCUGCUCCUAUAUGGCAUACACUAUAAUCUGUACCUAGGUAUCUACACUUUGAUACAUGUCCUGUGCACUCAUAUUGCGAAUGCCAAAUAAGGGUCUGGGAAAUACGAUUGCCUGUUUUCGUAGUCUUAAUGCAAACCUCGCAGCCUGGUGUGUCGGUACCUCUACCUUCCUGAAUAAUUAAAAACACACAUAUAUACAUCAUCAAACACAUUACUCCUGACAUCUUCUUCCUAAUUCUUCGACCGUGCGACGGCACCUCAGCUUCCAGGCGUGUGAGGGCUGCAGGGAAUGGAGUCCUUCUGAUCCUCACUGUUCUUCACAGAGGAUUCCUCUGGCUUAAACGUUGGUAGGUGGUCAGGCUUUAUUGUGGCCAUCAAAACACCUACUUGUAGAUCUUUGUUGAUGUUCCCUUGUAACAAUACUCUUCGCAAAAAACACUUUUAAUCUAACUGGGUCACUCGCUUCAACCGGAUCUUGCAGGGAUUCUCAGGAUCUUGAGUAGCUUGCCAAGAAUCUGCUGCUGGUAUAACCCUGGAGUGAUGAAUCCAUGGAGACACCUCUGCCACCUUUAUAGCUGUUGGAGUAGGCAAAAGAACAGCAUAAGGACCCCUCCACUUUGGCCCCAACGGUACACUGUUCCACUCCUUUAUCCAAACUUGGUCUCCUGGAUGGUAAGAAUGAACAGGUAGAUAAAUAUUUACAGGUAACCUAUCUUGUACCCAUUUCUGUACCUCCUCCAUAGUUUUACCCAACUCUACAACCUGCCGCCGGGUAAUUCCUUCUCCCAACUGACUCAAGUCCCCCUUUAAGUUACUAAGUAUGGGAGGUGGACGCCCAUACAUAAUUUCAAAGGGUGAUAGACCUAACUUUCUGGUAGGUGUACUACGAAUGCGCAACAGAGCUAUUGGCAAAAGAACAUUCCACUAGAGUUGGGUUUCUUGACACAUUUUUGCCAACUGGGUCUUAAUGGUUCUGUUCAUCCUUUCCACUUUCCCAGAACUCUGAGGCCUAUAUGCUGUAUGAAGUUUCCACUUAAUACCAAGCAUAUGAGUCAGUUGUUGUAGGCACUGAUGGACAAAAGCUGGACCAUUAUCUGAUCCUAUAGAACACGGUAGUCCAUAUCGGGGUAUUAUUUCUCGCAACAGAAUUCGCACAACUUCUCCUGCUUUCUCUGUACGAGUUGGACACGCCUCUACCCAUCCUGAGUAGGUACACACAGCUACUAGUAGGUAACAAUAUCUGCCGGAUUUAGGCAUUACUGUGUAGUCUAUUUGGAGAUCGGACAUAGGAAGCCCUCCCAUGUACUGGACUCCCGGUGGUUUCACUGGACCUUGCCUUGCGUUGUUCUUGGCACAUGACACGCAUCUUCGAACAAUGGCUUGAGUCAAGUUGGACAAUCUUGGUAUGUAGAAAUGCUUCCUAAGAGAUUCUUCCAUACUAUCUCUUCCAGAAUGUGUCCCAUUAUGAUAAUUCUGGACAAUUUCUACAGCUAGCGAUGCUGGAAUAACU